rnacentral:rRNA from 1 species
CACGUAGGGGGCAAGCGUUGUCCGGAUUUAUUGGGCGUAAAGAGCUCGUAGGCGGCUCAGUAAGUCGGGUGUGAAACCUCCAGGCUCAACCUGGAGACGCCACCUGAUACUGCUGUGGCUAGAGUCCGGUAGGGGAGCGUGGAAUUCCUAGUGUAGAGGUGAAAUUCGUAGAUAUUAGGAAGAACACCAGUGGCGAAGGCGGCUCACUGGCCCGGUACUGACGCUGAGGCGCGAAAGCGUGGGGAGCAAACAGG